UGGUGUCAUCUAGUCGAGUCCUCUCA
rnacentral:piRNA from 1 species